UGGGGAAUAUUCGGCAAUGGACGCAAGCCUGACCGAGCCACGCCGCGUGUGUGAAGAAGGUUUUCGGGUUGUAAAACUCUGUUGUUAGAGAGGAACAAGGACGUUAGAAUCUGAACGUCCAUUGACGGUAUCUACACAGUAAGCACCGGCUAACUCCGUGCCAGCAGCCGCGGUAAUACGUAGGUGGCAAGCGUUGUCCGGAUUUAUUGGGCGUAAAGCGAGCGCAGGCGGUUUCUUAAGUCUGAUGUGAAAGCCCCCGGCUCAACCGGGGAGGGUCAUUGGAAACUGGGAGGCUUGAGUGCAGAAGAGGAGAGUGGAAUUCCAGGUGUAGCGGUGAAAUGCGUAGAGAUAUGGAGGAACACCAGUGGCGAAGGCGGCUCUCUGGUCUGUAACUGACGCUGAGGCGCGAAAGCGUGGGGAGCAAACAGG
rnacentral:rRNA from 1 species